UUAAUAUUGGGUUUCUUUUAUUCAGAGGCGAGGAGCAGUUGGGUGGAUUAUGCGAAAACUAUUAAAUACUCCGGUCCGAGUCUCACAACCACAGGCUGACAUGGUUGCGACAACUUUUAUUAUGCUCCGACGAUGUAAUUCCUAACUCCGGUCCAAGUCUCACAACCACAACUCCUGCUACAAGCUAACGCUACACGAUCUGUUUUGUAUCAAUGGUACAUUGUAUUCUAAUUAUUUCAAGGAAAUACAUAAUGGGGUAGGUGGAUGAGUGAGAUGUUAAGACCUUGAUGAUAAAAAAAAUGGGGCUUCUGUAUGUAUAUUAAUGUAGGAUGUGUUUGUAUAUAUGUGUUAACAAAUGGGGUCUCGGACACAAAAUUACGGGCAUACCUAAUUAGCAUUUGGAUGCAAGAAGGAAAGCAAAGGCAUCUAGCAACUACAAGAGCCAAUUUUUAGCAAACAUGAGGAUUAUUGGACAAAUGAUAUCUUAUUAUUGGUGUUCUUAACUUCGAUCU